rnacentral:lncRNA from 1 species
CUGGGCAAAAGGCCUCUUUUGGAGUUGCUAAGCAGGUGGAUGCACAGCGGGGUAGAGUGGGCUCCCACAGGGGCACCCUGCCUGAGAAUGAAGCUGACCUAGAGGAACAACAAGUGAAAGGCAGGGGUGGUAAUUUUGCAUCCUGGACUCAACCAUGUCUGACCAAAUGCAUGGAUUUGCAGGUAUGUGAUUUCACACAUCUCCACUCAACUUUUACUCUACGCCCUUAGGAAUAGCUUGAACAGCUCUGUGUGAUAAUCCAACUUCCAUUCACCAUCGUUUCUGGGUGAUAGCAUCUUUGGGAACCCCUAGGGGGCAGGGCACCUGGAAGGGUAGGGUCCAGAAACUUGUGGGCCCAGGGUUAUAAUCUCAAUUGUAAUAAUGUCAAACAUCAUCCGGAACUUGUAACAGAAGCUGCCAACUUCAUCUUCCUGCUGUAUUUAGGUAGGAUUUAAGUUCUCUAAGAGUUUUAUGUCAACUACAUCAACAGUUAUUGCAGGGUCAUGUCACUAGUCCAUGGUGACUUUCUUAUCACAUGAAACUGCUAAUGAACUUGAGUUUAUAAGAUCCAAAAUAGUGUAAAGUGUAUAAACACCCAAACCUCUAUCUCCUGUGAUGUUUGCAAAUAAUCAGUCUCUCACAAUCACCACAAUUGACUUCAAAAUAAAACAAACUUUCCUUUCUACUUGCAAAAGUACAUGCAUGCAUUAGUUGAGGUAGUGCCCUGGUCCACUUUCCACCCGUGCACCUAGUGCUACCCAUAGUAGAUACCCCAAGGAUAGCUGUAGAGCAGAAGAGGGCAUCAUGGAGGCAGGAGAGGAGGGGAGGGCCAUGCCAGGGAAUGAAGUGGAGCGAAUCAUGUUGUGUGCACGUCUGAAUAUGCACGAGGAACCCCACUAUUAUGCACAAUUCGAAUGUGCUAAUAAAACAUAAUAAAGAAAUUCAAACCCCAGAUUGUGUUUUGGCGCUCUUGGAUGCACAAGAAUGAGAUGGUGUCAUUUCAAAUGAAAAUGGCAAUAUAUAGGAAGCAUAUUUCAUGAAGUAAGAAGUUUUACGGUCACAUAAAUCCUUCUGCUAUAAAUUAUAACACAUUUUGCCUGCUAAUUUAAACAGAUUCACAGCCCUGGAAAGUACUCUAGAUUUAAUUUUUGCACAUCGAUGCAAACUCCAGAAAGAAACAUGUACUUCUUCAAAAACAAAAGUAUUUCCUGACACACGUUCUCCCUUCCCUGGGUCCUAUGCAACGUUCUGUGCCAUUGGCAGGAAUAAGGCUUAAGCUAUUAGCAUCACAAAUCGGUUAGGAGACAGGGUUUGAGUGAUGGGGAAGGUAUAUGGAGCAGAACCCAGCAAAUUAGGUCUGUCACUAUUGUUUUACCUUUAUUUAUUAACAGCAAUAAUUCUGUCCUCGUUUUUUGUGGAGCACUUAAUCAAUUAUGUGGCAUGCACAGCUCUUCACAUGGUUUUGGUGGACUUCUUCCUUCCCCUACACAGGCAGGUGCAAGUUGCUCCAAGGAAAGUCAAGAAGUCAAAGGGCACUUGUGGUUCCUGCUGUUGGGAGAACCUGAAUGGAUACGCCCUUCCCAGAGCAAGAUGUAAGAAACGAACAGACAACAGCAGACCAAGGCAAAGCCACUCUAAAGAGACUGGGACCUCCAGGUACCCAGGGUGGCAAGAGCAGUUCUGGUGAAAGUCUGAGGGUGUUUAAAGAGAGUGUGCGGAGGAGCCCGUCAUCCCGUAAGUAACAGGAGGGACUUGAGCUGGGCACUGCCCAUCUAAGCUCUGUGGCUGGUAGAGGAGCCAAUCAGGUUUCAAGCUGCCUUUCCCUGACCUGGCCAGGGCGCCUGAGGGGAGGGACACGGGGGUUAAGAGCCAAUGAUCCCAUGGUAAGAUCACUGCCACUAAGAGCUCACUCAUCCCACCACCCUAUUCUCUGCUGCAAUGUCACAUCACCUGGCAAGCUUCUCAUUACAAGGUGGCUCUGCAGGGCACCUUUUAACUCUGGGAAGAAAUGGUUUGGUCACAUGAACUCUGAGUUUUAGUGCAUUUGUAGAUUUUUAAAAAUUGUGGUAAAAUAUCUAUCAUUUGUAAAGGUAUUAUUUUAACCUUUUAAAGUAUGCAAUUCAGUGGCAUUAAAGUACAUUCAGGAGGUUGGGCUACCAUCACCAUGAACCAUUUCCAAAACUUUCUCAUUAUGUCAAACAGAAGCUCUACACAUAGUCAAGAGCUCCUGUCACCCCUCCUCUCAGUCUCAGGUACCCACUACUCUGCUUUCUGAUUCUAUGACUUUUCCUACUCUAGAUACCUCAUCGGAGUGGAGUGACACGUGUUUGUCCCUUUGUCUCUGGCUUCUUUCAUUUAGCAUUAUGUUUUCAAGGUUCAUCUGUGUUGCACCAUGCAUCAGAAUUUCUUGAUUUAUACUCCUUUGUGUGUAUACACCACAUUUUGUUAAUAUAUUCAUUUGUUGAUGGGUACUUGGGGUUAUUUUCACCUUUUAGCUAUUGUGGACAGUGCUGCUCUGAACUAUGGUGUACAUAUGCCUGAUUAAGUCCCUGCUUUCUAUGUCUUUGGGUAUAGAAUUCCUUGGUCAUAUGGUAAUUCUAUGUUUAACUUUUUGAGGAAUCCUCAAGAUGUCUUUCACAGUGGCUCACACCAUUAGGCAAUCCUACCAACAAUGCACCAAAGUGUUGUAUUAGUCCAUUUUCUGUUAGUAAAACAAAAUACUUGAUGCUGGAAUCUGUAUAAAGAAAAAAUUCAUUUAGUUCACAGUUUUAGAGGUUGGAAUCCCAAAGAAAGUAUAACCAGUUUGGUCAAGAGGACCCCUAGCUGCCUCAUAAUGGUGGGAGUGCACGUGAGGGAGGGGAUAACAUGGCAAGGUAGGAAGCCUGAGCAUGGGGAAGGGUCUUCCUGUGACCGCUCACGAGUUCCCACCUCUUUAAUUUCCCACCCCUACCAAACUGCCGCUGAGGACCAAGCCCCCAACACAUGCCCCCUUGGGUGACGCACUCCAACCAUAUCCAAGCCACAGAGGAGUCCUCCUGUCCCAUGUCCUAGCCAACACUUAUUUCCUGUUCUGUUUCUGUCAUGUCACCCUAAUGGGCAUGAAGGGGUGUCUAACCGUGCCUCGGAUUUGCAGUUCCCUAUUGAGCAUCUUCCCAUGAGCUCAGGGGCCAUUUGUGCAUCUUAUGGGGAGAAAAGUCUAUUCCAGUCCUUUUUCCAUUUUAAACACCAGGCUGUGGAGGUGAUUUCUUAAUGUAAUCUGGGGUAACUGAUCUAAGCCCUGGAAUUCCUACUAACGUGGUGGGGAAGUGGCUGUCCUGAUCAUGUGGACCAAAGCUUGAUUACUGUGUGGCAGUUAUUUCUAGAAUAAGUUAAAUUGUCCUCAGCAUUUACACUUGGGUCUACCACGCCUGACUAUUGUGAGUUUACAUCCACGAGGUGGAUUUUCUCUCCAGGUACUGCAAGGCAGAGGGCCUGGAUCCAGAGCACUGCAUAUUCUCCAGGGUCAUGAAAGUCACCCCCUGAGAUUCUAGGGUGAAAGUUACUGGCUCUGGGUAUUUUCUAGGUUAAUCUAAGACUUGUGCUGUCCAAUUCAAUAACCAGUGGCCACAUAUGGCCAUUUAAAUCCAAUUACAAUUAUUAAAAUGAAAUAGAAUGAAAAUUGAGUUUUCUAGUUCAUUAUUACAUUUUAACUGCUCAUUAGUUGCCUGUGAACAGAGUCCACUGUGUUGAACAACCACACACACGGAACUUUUCUAUCACCUCAGAAAAUUCUUUUGGUUAGUGCUGAUUAGAAAAUAAGAAUUUUACAAAAAGUAAUGAAAACAGAUUAUCAGCAACCAAAAAAGUGACUCCAUGGUUCAGAAAGAUAUUAGGGUUAGGCAACAAAGUUAGAAGAGAAUUGAAACAAACUAGACUGUCACUGCCAGGAAGGAGCCCAGAUGUGUUCUCUGUUCCAGAAUCUGCACAGGGAUCCCAGGGUCUCGCCCUCAGUGAGCACAGUCUAAGUGCCUGGUGGCCAUGAAGACACUGCUCAGUGUCCCUGCUGCUCUGCGGGCAGGUGACGGCUGUUCAUGUGGAGGCAUCUUCCACUGCCCACUUUCAGCUAGUGACAGGGUGAUGACAUAGCCCUUCCAGCCAGAUAUGGGAUUCCUCUCAGGCCACCUGCCCUUGAGGACCAACGCUUUGUGGAACUGUCUGCAGUCUAGGACUUUCCUAAUCCAGAGAUCAGGAAACCCUCCUCCUGCUUGCCCUGGGCAGGUGUUAAACCUGCAACAGGCCCUGGAGGCCUGCCCAGCUCCGUGAGCUCCUGUUUUUCCCCCUGGAGGAGGUCUAAUCUGGCUUAGCAUCUGCUGCACAGCGGAGCCUCACCAGGGCCGAGUGCUGCUGCUGCUGCUGCUGCUGGCCCUUUCUCAGUGUCUCCCCACCGCCUCCUUGGGUGGGAACUCCACAUCAGGCAUGUAAGCACCACUUCUGCCAUUUCCUCUCACAUCUCCAUGGUGAGAAGCUCUCAGGAGCAUGCCAGGUCACAGCCAAGCUGGGGAGACAGCUUCUGGCAUCCUCCAGAGGCCUCCCUAAUUUGGGGCUCUUGAACAGGACUUGUUCUUCUUCAUGCCCACCAGCUCCUGAAGCACAUUCAGAAACCAGAUGGUACUGGUUGUUUCUGCCUUUUGUUGAAGGUUGCCUUAUUUUUCCGGUUGCCCAGUGCUAUAAAAACACCAAGGACUUUUAAUUUUAAUUAUCCAGUUGAUGGAAAAAGCUGGAUAUACUAUUUUUUCUGAAUAAUUCUAGAACUUUCCCUCAACCUUUUUGUGUUUUCUCCUGACUUGAUCAAAAUACUUAUGAGCCCUGGAACUGAGUUCCAAUUUCUGGUCUAUUGCUCCACCAAGGCCUGGUUGUUUCCUUCUGCAGAAUGCCAUUCCUUCAUGAGCUCUCAUUUCAUCUCCUGGGGCCACACCUCUCCAAAUGUCACCUUUGUCUGUGUGUAUAAAGCUCAAGACAGAUGCCAGUGUUUCCCAGACCAUAUUCUCCAUAACAUGAGUGUUCUGAGAGGUCAAAACCUGUAGUCACAGAUGUGCCCUGCUGCUCUCCUGUUGGGACCAACCAUUGCGUAGUCCAGCCUCCAACUGCCAAAGCUGUGUCACUUUGCCCAGACUGCUCUCUGUGUGCUGCAGGCCAGGCGUCCUUCAACCAACCAGCAGUGAGCGGGCUCCAUGCCAGCUCUGUUCCCCAGCAGGAGCCUGGUGGGGAUUUGCUCGAGGACACCGUCCUGGGUGACUGCCUUCUGUCCCCAGUGUCCCUUCCUCACUCUCUGUUGCCAUUUGCUCAAAUAAUUUCCCAAAUAGACUUUUGCAGUGGAAUAGAGGAAGCCCACACUGAGGGGUCAUUUUAUCAGAAAAGAUGUGUCGAGAUCAGACACGUUUAGUGACUGCGAGGUUACACCAAAGUGAGUGAGUUUCCCUGCCACGAGGCUUUGAAGAGCACUCAGUAUGGGACUUGACUAGUGACUCUCCAGGGAUGAGAGGUACACAGCACACCCAAAGUUACAUGGCAAUGUGUUAUUAUGGGUACAGAAACAGUGUGUUGCACACACACACACACACACACACAGAGCGAUCCUUUGCGGAACACAGUUUGAGAACAGCUGGAGAGUGAUAACUGAACCACGUGUGCAGGAGGAACAGGGGUUGGGGAUGGUUCUGUUCCCCUUCCCAUAGACCAAUUUCAUACAAAAUGUAUAAAACUCACGAACACUCUGGUGUGAGAACACGAAAUCAUGAACACAUUUUUAAGACGCAGUACACGGGCUAAUGACCAGUGCUCACCGUGUGCUGUGGGUUACCUGAAAGCACGGACUCUGGGGAGGCCUGAAAGGCAGGAGUGUCGGGGGCUGAGGCCAUGGAGCUGCACGAUCGUCCUCCAAGAAGAGGGAAACCCUUGGAGACACUCUGUAGUGUUUCUGCCUUCCCAAUUAAUCCAGCUAACUCUGGUCCUCAGCCAACUCACUUUUUCAUUAUUAGGAGGACAAAUCAUAACAUAGCGUGACUGGAACUAAUUCAACAUGGCAAAUACUUUAAAACUUAAGUAGAAUUGAAGUUAAGUUCAUUUAAACCCCAAGAGCAAACUUACUUCCUGUUCCAAGACCCUUAGGCUUCUCAAGGGCUAAGUGGACACAACUCAGUGGGAUCCAAGGUGAGCCUCAUAAACAGGUGGCAUUGGGUCACCUCCUUGGGGAUUUCCAGAUGGCUGCUGCAAAUCUACCUCCCUUGCUUCUGAUGUGCCAACUAAAACUGCAAACUAUGGGCUCAGAGGUCAAAUCUCCCCUUCAACUAUUAUUUAUUGGUAACCAGGUGUGUGUGUGUGUUACUUCUUCAUGGAUCUCUCUUCAGAAAAAGAUGGGGGGGGAUCAUCCACCCUCAAGAAAUCACACCUGAAUACUAAAUUAAAUAUAUAUGUAUAUAUAUCUGUGUGUGUGUGAAUUCAUGUAUAUAAAUUUAAUAAAUGGAUAAAAUUCUUGCUAAUUAAAAUAUUUUAAAAUUUCUUUCUAGUUUUAUUUUGCCUGCAGAAAUUAGAGACCUUAUAGGUAACAUAUUUAUAUCAUUUUGAGCAACAAAUAAAAACAUUCAUAAACAUUUAUUUUAAAAAUGCUUCCUUCAUGAAUAGUCAUGCUCUGCAUUGAAUGUCUGUGUUCCACAAAUUCAUGUGUUAAAAUCCUAACCCCCAUGAGGUGGUGCUAAGAAGUGAGGCUUCAGGCGGGGGUUAGGUCAUGAGGGUGGAGCCCCAGCAAAUGGGAUUAGUGACUUGGUGAGAAGAGCCAGGAGAAGACUACCUUUCCCUCUGCCACAUGAGGAUACAAGAUAUCCCGAUCUGUGUGGCCUUGAACCCCAGCCUCCAGAACUGUGGGAAAUGAGUCUGUUGUUUUGGGCACCCAGUCUAGGUAUCCUGUGACAGCAGCUUGAAUUGGCAGAGGCCAGUCAUUUUGUCAUUAUUGUUAGGACGUCAUCUUUAUUUUGAAAGGGGACAUUAACUUUUCCAGCUAUCUGUGAGGUAGUGUAUCAUUGUCAUUUGUUUUUCUGGAACACUUGUCAGUUUAUAGAGGUAGCAUACUUGAUAUUUUUAAAAAUUUAACAACUUUUUAAAGAAGUUUUUCAUAAAAGAACCAUUGAAACCCUCUUUUGGUUUGAAUAAGGAAUGUCUCCCAAAGGCUCGUGUGUUGAAGGCUCUGUCCCCAAUUUUCCUGCUCAUUCCCAAACCAUUACCAAGAAUUAUACAGAUUUUACCACAUUCUACGGGCUGUGCAGACAGACUCUAAAGUGACCCAGGAUUCCCACCUCCUUGGUGUGCAGAGGUCUGCGGGGUCAGUCUCCUGCUUGAGUGUGGGUAGGGUGGGUAGCUGGCUCAACCUGAUGGAGCAAGACAAAGGUGAUGAACGUCACACCUAUGAUUCUUUUACACAGAUGUAACUUCCACCUGUUAGCAGAUACGCUCAUGAUGUCUCCCCUGCUGGUGUUGGUGAGUCAUGUUCUGGAUGGAGAAGACCAGGUGGUCAGGAGCUGAAGGUGGCCCUGGCCUGACAGCCAGAAACAUGCUGAGCCCUCAGCCCAACAGUCAGGGGCGAAACCAAUCCUGCCAACAACUGUGCACACUGGAAACACACCCUUCCCCACUCGGAUCUCGGAUGAGACCUCAGCCCUGGCCUUAACUUGAUCGCUGCCUUCAGAAAACCCCUCUGCAAAAGACAGGAGCCAGCCCUGCCUCCUGCCUGGACCCUUGUCCCCUGAAACUGUGAGAUAACAAAUGUGUGCAGUUUUAAGCCACCAUCAUGAUUUGUUUUGCAGCAAUUAAUAACCAAGACAGCUUUUGCCUUUACACAUGCAGCUAAUAUUUUCAGCAAUCACUUGGUUUUGAAGGAUAACAUGCAUCAAUCUCACAUGUGUGGCUGCUUCUGUUCUCUUCACCUAGAAGCUUUAUUAAAUUCCUAUCAAAGCAGCCUCUCUCCAUAAGGGGUUCUGCUGCAUAGUACUUAAAAAAAAGGAAAAACAAGCAUUGCUUUUAUUUUAAAAACUAUUCUCUUGAUAAUGGCUAUCUAAUUAACUUAAAAUUUAAAAUUAAAUUAAUUAAAUUUAAUUCUCCAGUUAAUCUUCCACUUGGUAGCUUAUGAAACAUGCAGCAUAUCAUACAGCCCUCUUAGUGGAACAGAAUCCUGCUAAAGCAUUUGAAAUUGUCUUCUCACUCAACAAAGAGCCUACUGUGCUCUUAUCACAAAAUCUAUUCUGAUGCUUUCAUCUUUAAGAUUUCAGCAAAAUCUCUUCUACUUUGAGGACAAAGGAAGGCACUGCAGUUUGUCCAGGUCUCUUGCUUCCUAUGUAUCAGUUUAGCCGUUGUGUCCGUGAUGAAGGUCCUGCUGCUGAGAGAUGGAGAGGAACUUCCAAACAAUGAGCGCAGACUUGGUGGAGGUCUUGAAAUGUUGAGUAUCCAGUCACUUUGAACUUCAGAAUAAAAGCAGUUGUUUUGGGUUCUAUCUCUAGGUGUCUUAGUUUGGAGGUUUCGGGUCUAGCUCAGGGCUCGGUUACCUGCCUAGAAGGACUCUGCCCUUCCCGCACCGUGGCCAUGCGGGCUGUUCCUCUCGCUGCUUCCGCCUCCACCCCCUUUGAAAGUCAGAAGAAAAAUCAGGGUCACCCCUAACAUCAGGUGCAAUCUCUGGGGCCUCCUCAUCUCAUCAGGGUCCUCCCAGCCCCUCUGUGACCUUCGCCUCAUCUGCCCCGUGGUUGGACAGGGUCAUCUUGCUUUUGUUCCCACCCACAUUGGCCUCUCCGGGGAGCCCAGUGAAGGCGGCUUGGCCCCAGGCCGUGGUCAGUGUGCUGUGCUUGGUUUGGAAGCCUCUGCCUCUGCGGCUUCUCCCACUGCUGAGGUCUUGAGAUGUGCUCCCGGUCUCUGGCUGAGAGCCCACGCUUCGUCCCCAGUGCCCGCGCUGUUCCUGGCAUGUAGACAGCACUCCAUGUACUUACUAAAUGAAAGAACGCCUCUCAGAGAGGCUUCCUGGGACACUGACGGUUUUCACUGGUUUCCAUCUCAGUUUGGACUCCGCUGUCCUCAUAAUGUCUUUGGACUUGGUACCUGUCAUUUUGCUGUGGUUCUAUUGUGAUGGCACAUUCAAAUGAUUUUCUUCAACCUAUAGGUUUUUACAUUUUUAAUUUUUAUUGAGAUAUAACGUUUGUAGUCUUUGUAGGGAGCAUUAUGA